CUCUCUCUCUCUCUCUCUCUCCUUAAUUUAAUCGUCAUAUUUUGAAGCUUCCUCCUUUUCCAUGAACCCACAGAAACCAACCCUUUUGAGAACCAGUCAAAUUUAACAUGCAAUAGAAUAAAAGUUGCAUAUCCUUCUCCUUUUCUUUCACUUUUUCUGGAUCAAUUCAUCCAAAAUUUCUUUUCUUCUACACAAACAAGUCAAACAUCUAAGAAUAUACAUAUACCAGAUAGAAAAAACAUCUCUUUCUAUUCCCUCUUCUUUUUAUUUUUUCUCUUUAUCUUAAAUUGUUAUUUUAGUUUAUUUAAGAGGUGAUCAAAGGAUAUAUUCAGAUCUUUACGAUAAAGAACAGCUUCAAAACCAGCUCAAAAUCUUCGAUCUUUCAAGGGAAAUGGACUCUGAUUUCUGGACCUCUCGCCUAGCUGCCGCAAAAAGGCAAUACACCUUGCAGCACCAUCAUCAGAUUCAGAGUUCCCACUUAGAUCGGUUGAGCAUCGAUGAUUUCGAGGUAGAAGACGAGGUCCGACCCGAUUUCCCAUGUCCCUAUUGUUACGAAGAUUUCGACAUCGCAUCUCUGUGUUCCCACCUCGAAGAUGAGCACUCUUGCGAGUCCAAAGUCACCAAGGGAACACGCAUCAUGUUAGAGCUAAAUGAUUGGAGAUAUCUUCAAAUGGUUCUGAUGAGGCUAGUCCCUCCUUGAGUAUACCGAACUAUGAACAUGAAAGAAAGAGGUCCUUGAGUUGAGUAGCCCUUCUCGAAUAACUUACAACCAAUUUUUGACAUCAGUCAUACAUUUUUUCAGUUAGUUCUUGACUGAGAUUCCAAAAUAUGAAGAGGAUAUUAAGAGCUGGCUGACCUUUUCAGUUUUUAGAACAAGAAACCAUUUUUUGGUUGCUGCAAAUAGCAUGUGAUAUUCGCUUUUAUGAAUGGUGUCAAAGAUGUGGUGUUUGGGACAAUAUUUUUGGGGUUGCUGUAUUGUUUCAAUACUUGGAGAUUUUAAAUGAGGAUCUAUGUGAUUGAUGCUUGUCUUAGCUGAGAAGAAAUUUGGUCUCUUCAAUUUGAUCUAAACAUGGAGAGUAGACGGACAAUAUAACUGAAGAUAUAAGAGUUCAGAAAUAUUUUCUUCAGCUUUUCUUUAUAGGAAUAGCUUUUUUUUUCUCUUAGGAAUAGCUUUUUUUUUUUCUCUUGGCAUUUUCUUUCUUUCAUUUUGGGAGGUAUUGUUUUAUUAAAAAGGGGAAGGCAAAAGGGAAAGGAGGGAGGAGAAAUGAAAAUUGAAUCUAUAUUAUACCAAGAUCAAUUCGAAUUCAGUUUCUAAGCCUUUGCUGUUUGAUGUGCACAAUUCCUCACCAUACUUCUCUUUAAGUGUGGGCUUAAGCUUAACAACAGAUCUUUUUUCUAUCUUUACAUGCUUGUGUGUCUUUCUCCUUGUUGUACAGCUUGUGAUUUCUCCCGGUUAUCAAUUUUGGAUUUGAGUUCAUGGUUACAAUGAAGCCUGUUUGUUCUUGAGACAGUUAUUACACAUCUGACAAUUUUAGCCUCCUUUUUCAGUCCCCUCUUCGUCUUCACAGUCAAUGCCUUCUAUGUCUUCCGGGGAGCUUUUAUGAGAUUAAAUCUUAGAUGAUACAAUGUGUGGGGUAUGUUUUCAUUGUUUACAGAAAGGGCGAAAAUUCUUGACACUAAAGAAAGUUUUGAUCCAAUAUUCUUAUGAGGUAGUUCAAUGAUUUGGUCCAUCCACAAGUAAAAGAGGGACAAAGUGUCCUUAGUGACAACCUGAGGGAGGAUGAAUAAUUGUGUGAUAAAUGUAUAUGGAUGCGUAAAAAUAUAAAAAAUCAUAUUUGUUGCAUUUAUAAACUACAGAAAUUGCAAAAUUCUAGUGAUUUUCUUACCUGUUUUUAAAGGAACAUGUAACUCAUCAAGUCUCAUCAAAUAGCCUUUGUUCAUCUAAACAUUCUAUUUGAAGAACUUGAUCUGAUAUGUUAACCUUGUCUUUCAUUCUUUCCAUACAAGCAUGUGUUUUUAUGUCUUUUUGUAUCUUUUUGGCCAAGAUGACACUAGGAUAAGAAGAAAAUUAACUAAAAAGAAAUGAACAAUUGGGUAUCAUGAUUGUUGUUGUUAAUCCACGAUGGAGGAUGAUUUGUAUAACAAGUUUUUUAUUCUAAUUGAAGCUUUCGGGCAAGAUUUUCAUACUGCAUCCACUUUGCCAUUGCAGGUUUGUCCUAUUUGCUCUGUUAAAGUUGCACAGGACAUGCUAAGUCAUAUCACACUGCAACAUGGACACUUGUUCAAGAUAUCCUUAAAAUGGAAACUUCCAUAAGAAAAUGUUUCUUGUUUUAUGAUUAGUAUUUUGAUAAUGCUGAUCUUAUGCCUAAUAACAAAGUCAAUUUAUUUUCCAAGUUUCCUUUAACUGGAGAUUACUUGCAGAGACGUCGCAGAUUGCGUAGAGUUGCAAUUCCAAACAGUCAGGCAUUGUCUUUACUUGGUCGGGAUCUUCGUGAGGCUCAUUUACAAGUGCUCUUAGGUGGUGGUGGUGGAUAUAGGUCAAGCAAUGCUAAUGUGUCUAAUGCAGCUACUGACCCAUUCCUUUCAUCACUUAUUUUGAAUUUCCCUGCAUCUGAAGCUGAAGAAAUUUCGAAAUCUGUGGCAACAAGUGUGGAAGAUAGUCCUGCAAAAAAUGCAGCACCAGCAUAUAUGUGGCGAUCACGGUAUUGAAUCUCGUUACCUUUUUACUAAUAAAUGGAGCAAAUCACAAACACAUCCUGGUUUCCUUUUUCAUUUGUUAGAUUAAAACGCACAUAAAAGAGUUGUCAAUAUCAUGCAGCUGUUGAUCCAUUGUGGGGGAGCUUUUGUUUUGUGGAGUUGCUUUAACAUGUUUAGUUGUGGCUUAAUUACCCUGUUCUUUCCUUUGUUCACCGCGAUUUUUUUUUUUGGCAUGUUAGUUAUUUAAUUGUGUCCUCUGUUUACUUUUCUAGUCAAAGAAAUCAUCCAGAAUAUGGAACAGUCAUCUUCUAUAUUUUUCUUGGCAGCCAAUCAUUACAUCUACUCUAAUAGCUGAGGGCGUUGAUUCAAAAUGAAAUUUUGCUAACAAAACAUUACCUUUGUGGUUUUUAUCUUGCAGUUUCGAUCCUUCUUUGAGUUAUGAAGAAAGGGAGAAAAGGAUGAGGCAGGCUGUUGGAAGAGCUGGUUUUGUGCAGGAUCUGAUUCUGUCAACUUUGUUAAGAGACUAACUAAAACAGUAACUUCAUUUAGAAAAAUAAUGGAUGGGAUCUAAAAUCUUCAUAAGAGGUACACUUGGGUGGGGUUCUAAUUGUGUUACAUUGCUCAAAUAACCUCAAUGAUGCCUCAUUUGAAUAUUGAAGCGGCUCCAUGACUGCUGGAUGAUAGAUUGACUGCUGGAUGAUGGAUUAUAUCUCAUCCAUUUCCGUUCCCUCUUGACAAGCAAUUUACUACAUUCUGCAGAAAGCCAGAAAAAAAUGAUCUUCUAUUUCAUGAAAGACUUCAUUUUAUGAAAGACUUCAUUUUAUGAAUACAUUCUCGUUUUGCAAGAUAAACCCUUUGAAUGCUAAUUUGCAGCACAGUACAGCAUCAUAUAGAGCAUUAUAUAUGCUCUAGUCAUUCAUGCACAGUCAGACAAUGUGAAGGGAGAAGAUUGUGCAAUGCUCAUAUUCUGAUCAUUUUUGGCUACGAAUGAAAUUGCUGACAUAACAAAAAAUAUUGAAAUGCAUUUCAAUGUAAUUGACUUAAUACUAUAUCAUGCUUUGUUGAGUUUACCUGGAGGAAAAUUCAUGAAUGGAAUCAGGUUAUCCUUGUGUUAAUAAUGUCCAGAAGCUGAUUCCAACCUGCCGCUCGCAGAUUUUACUUCAUAGAGGAUUAUUGCAUUCCAACUGGAACCUAGCCAGCCCCACCAAAACGACAAGGACAGCCACUAUUUCCAAAGUUUUAGCACCCACCAGAAGUUGGUGGCGGCGGCGGGUGGUCGGUGCAUCUCAAUCACCCAUCACUUGUAGCGGUUAAGAUAAACAUAAACGAAGAAAGUAAGACACAAAGCCCACGUCAAUUUGCGUCUCUCUGCUAUUGCUUGGUAUGCCACUGCUAUUAAAUAUUCACUUGUUCCUCUUCCCAUAUUACUCGCGUGUAUCAAUCUCCAUCCACCCCGCAUACCCUCUGGUUAGAAUUUUCAUCCGGCGGUUGUUUUUUAUUGUCCAAUAACAUAAAGAUAUUCCUUGUGUGCGGAGGGUAAAAGAGCAAAGCUACAAAACUGCUCUUUUCUUUGAGACUGAGAGAGGGCCAUCUCGACUCUUGAGUUUUGAGGUAUCUCUGUUUUUGGGUAAUUUUUUGAGGAAAGGGGAUAUGAUGGUGGAGCUAUUUGUGUUGGUUUGCACUGGAGUUGUGAUGUUGCUACACGGAGCUAAUUUCUUCUUCCAUGUUCUUUCCCAGCACCUCGCCAUUCGUUCUCUCAGUUUUCUGGGCUUUGUUGGAUGGUGAAGGAAAAGGAGAGAAAGUGGAGAUGGUAGCUUGCAGUGCUUCUCUUUGUAUGUAAUUAUUUUUUGGGCUAAAUAACGUUGUGCUAGUGCAGAUUGUAAAAGCAAUACUGCCUUGAAAUAAUGGAGAACUCUAUAUGGAUUUUCGAUAUAAAUUUAUCUUCUUUGAUUCAUUUGAACUCUGUUUUUGUUUUUCUAAAUCGAAGAAUGUUCAUUCUUUUAAUGUUUUUGUUAGAACACAGAGACAUACUGGAUUUGAAUUCUCUGCAUCAGGAUAUGGUUUUGCAUAAUGCUCAUCGUACUAAUAUACUGUACGCCAAUUUGAAUGGAAAAAAAAUUGUUCGAUUGGUGGGGAAUUGUAUUGAAUAAGUGAAUAAAAAAUGUCUUGCAAUUUUGGCAAGCAGUUAGUUAAGAGAUCAUUUUCUCUUUCUUUCAAUGAUUCCUUGUCCAUCUGUGGGUCAACACCAGAAGAAUUAGGUGUGUAGAGAUAGAAGAUGGUUUCUGAGUUGGUGAGGCCAAUUUAGCAAGUUUUAGAGCAUGGAUUGGCACCAACUACUGCUGAUGAGCUAUCAAUUCAUGAUUUCACUCGGGUCUGUUUCAAUGUUUUCAAAAGCCUUUCUUUGGUGCUGGGAGCCCCUAAACUCAACAAUGCAUAAUGAUUUUCAUGGCCUCAAAACAUUUAUGCUAACUAAAUUCAGAGGAACAAAC
rnacentral:misc_RNA from 1 species